UCCAGUCAUAAUUAGCAAGACAAUGAAGACUGAGUGCGCAGCUCUCUGCAUUGUCCUGGUGAUUAUCUCUUCAACAAUGUCAUCCUGCUAUUAUAGUAAGUAUAUAACUAUUUCUGUACCUACAAUAAUUCCACUCAUGUGUGGAUCAGGCAAGAUAGAUCAACAUUAAUAUAUCUUUUGUUGUGGAUACCUAUCUAUAUUAUGGAUACUUAUAUAAACAAUAAUAUGUGCCAUUGCAAGUAUACAUAUUUAUCUGUAUUCUUGAUACUUAUAUCAAUAUUAAGAUGUGCAUAUAUCCCUACUGUGGAUACAAAUCAUAUAUUUACCACUGCAUUUAUACAUAUAUCUCUGUUGUGGAUAGAUAUAGCAACCUUAAAAUGUGCCACUGCAUAUAUAUAAACCGGACCAAACAAUAUGCAUACCAGAACGCAAUGCAAGUUCAACAAAUAUACCACCAAUACUAAUUAAUCUUCCCCACUUGCCACUCGUACUCAACAAGACAAUGAGGACUGUGUGUGCUGCUCUGUGCAUUGUCCUGGUGAUUAUGUCUCCAGCCCUCUUAUCCUGCGCUUGUGGAUGGAGUAUGUAUAACUUGUUUUGUACUUAAAAUAAUUCCACUGGUGCAUUGUUUAUUAAGUAAAGUUGUGGAUGCAUGCAGUAAUUGAACCAAUCCGUCUACCUGGAUGCACCCCGGCGGUUUGCCAAACAAAAUGCUUGGAUUAUGCCAAAAAGAAUGACCUAGUGUUAGAGCUGUUCUACUGUGCGAAGGAGGAUGUUUGUAUGUGCUCGUUAGUUCACAAAAAGCGUCUGCACCUCACAACCGAAGUCAUGGGAUUAGCUGAUGAUGCAAAGGACGAUAAUGGAACUUUUGUUUGAAUAUAAUAUAUCGGAUUGAAUUUGAUACUAACGAUGGAUAGGGUGGUGACAUGGCUGAUACGGACCGAAGAACGCUGCAAGAUAUAUUACUCUUUCAUGAUUUAAAACAAAGAGGUUUACAAGCAAACCUCCAAAGGAUAACCAUCGUGCUUGCGUCAUGAAUAACCGGCUAGUUUUUAGGCAAGGUCAGCCGGCAAGCCUAGGGCGUCAGUGACAGCCCUGCCUCUUCUCUCACUACCACCUAGGCCUGCACUGUCAGCUGCCUUUCUUCUCCAAUCUCCAGUCUGAUACCAACCGAAGCCAGCACCGAAUCCCAUGUUCCCCGGGAUUGCUUGUGUAGGGUACAACCGACCCCCUAUAAAGCCUGUGAACCUCCCCCGCGACUUCCUUUUCACAUCAACGUUACCCCGAGGAGCCCUAGCCGCUGCAGUAGUCGGAUUUAGAUCUUGCCAGCUUUUCUUCCGCCCCGCCGAGCGCUGCGGCCACCCCGAGCUCUCUCUGCCAUUGUAGAGCUUCUAGGAGAGCUUGUUGUCUUCUCCUCAAUCUCCCCAUGUAUUUAUUUUGGGUUGAGGCGCUCUAGUUUGUCGUUUCGACGAGCUCCGGGGAGAGCUCGGCCUGGUCGGCCAUGGCGCUGCCGUCUGGGCUGCCGCCGGCCAUCUCCCAGCACUACAAGAGAAACCCCUCUUUUGCAAUGGAUAGGUGACAAUGCUUAGUUUAUUAGUUGCAAGGAGUAAGAUGACAAUGUUUAUUAAACCGUUGGAAGCUUAUCCGUGUUCUUGUGAGCAGCCCUUUGAGCUAUGCGGGACAUGUAGUGCUGUCAGGUUGACCCUGUAACCAGUCAAGUCAUUACCCAUUUAUAUUUUAUUUCCUCACUAAAUUUUACUUAUAGUAAGAACAAGGCCGGAUCCAAUCCAAAACUUAUAACCCCUCGCUCCUAUUAUCCUAUACACACCCUAAUCACGGCCGCCACCGCUUUGCAUGGUGGUACAACGUCCGCGCCCCAAAUCCCCUCCCUGUUCGUGCCGCAUCGCUCGAUCCUAUUCCGUGGCCAGCACCUGUUGUCUGCUUGCCGGCGUCUCAACUAACCUCCCCCACUAAUUCCUCCUCCUUCCUUUCGCAAAAAAAUCCUCCUCCUCCAUCAGAGCAACUCAGGGCCGUCAGGGCGGGGCAGCUACAGCGAGCUGCUCAGCGUGGGUUGGGGCAGCUGCAGCAGCACAUCGGCAGGCAACAGCAGUGCAGUAGUUCUUUGUAGCUCCGUGCACGUGCAGCUGGGUGACACCACACCAGCAGCAGCAGUGGACGCGGCCAUUGGCGAGACAGCGACUCCGAGUGCCGAGCAGCUGGUCAUUAGGUAUGCCUUGAAGUCUCCAACUGAUUAGGCCAAUCAACCUGCACCCUCUUUGUCGUUGAGAUAGCAAUUUGACUCUGAAUCAUGAGUUGCGAGUAACCCCACUCAAUUAAUUAAAUCAAAAUCAAGUGUCAUGCUUGCCCGCGCUGACUUGAUAUUGUGUCCUGCUAGCUCUUUAGUGUAGUAGCGAUGUUAAAAUUCAGUCAUAGCAUACCACAGUGUUGUAAUGCUCAAGUUGCUAUAUGGGAUUUUUAGCAUUGAAAGCAAUAGAAUACCUGGCUUGGAUGUAUCUGAACCACAUUAUGUAGUGAUAUUUUUUUAUUUAGUACAUCUGUGAUUUUCUAAACUAGUGCUCAAACUUAAAAGAACUGGAGCACUCUGCUAACUGAAAGUGAAAAUUGCUACACCAACUAGACUCAUUUUCUGUGAAAUAUGUAUGAUUUGCUAUACUCAUUUUCUACUCUAGCAGUUGUCCUCCCUACUAGAAGCUAGAAUCUUCUUUUCUUUUGGUUAACCUUUUACAAUUUGUUGGUUUAUAAUUUUCUGAUCUUUAUGAUUGCCUUAGGCAAAAUAGUUGUGAUAAUGUAACUUAAAGGAAUUAUAUGAUGAUAAAUAAAUAUGAACUUAUAGAUGCUAUUUAUUUAUACAACAAGAGCUUUUUAUGGUUUCAAAAUGGAUUUAAAAAUCAUCAAGCUUCUUUGUUAAAGAGCCCUUGAAUCAAAUCCCCAUCUUCCAAAACAAAAUCAACGCCCAGGAUUAGACCAUACCACUUCGGCCAGAGUAUUUGUUAAAGAGCCCCUGCUUUUUCUUUGAAUCAACCCGCAGUCCAAAGCAUGUUUCCAAAAUAUGUCUUCUCAGUAUGUCAUCCCAAUUUGAAUUCAAAAUACAUUUUCACUAUUUACAAAAAUGCCACUGAUUUUUGUUUGGUCACAAAAUGCUCAUUUUAACUCCAUUUUGAUCGGUUUAAAUUUUGUAAGAUUCAUAUUUGCGCAAUCUACUUGUUUGUGUCACUAUUUUACUAAUUUUACAACUUUUUGAUUUUGACGUCCUAUUUAAUUUAUUACUUUACUAAAGGAAAUCUUAGGAAAUUCAUAACUUCUCCGCUUUAGCUCUGAUUUUUGUGAUCUUUACGUCUGUGUGAUCAUAGCGAUGCGUAUAAUGAUUUUAUAAACUUUUGAACAUGUUUUUUCUGAUAUUGGUGUACUGUCCUAAUUGUAAUUCUUGUGUUGCUAUGCAUGACAAUCUCUGAUUGCUUGUGUGUUGAUGAUUGAAGAUUCGAGUAUAGACGAUGAGUAGUACGUUGGUAAGAAAGACCAGUAGUUUGACGACUAGCAGGAGUAGUAGAAAAACUUUGAUUAAGGCAAGUAUAGCUUGGGACCUCCUUGAUUACCUACUCAGUUUAUAUAAUGAAGUAAAUGUGCAUGUGUCUUUGAUACUUUGUUAAGGAUGACUUAGCAUUGAAUUAUUGUGUACCUUGUUUACCCUCGGAUAUCUGCAUGUGGGUAGUAUUUGCUAGUGCUGAUUUAUAUGACCAUGAUCUUGUAUCAUGAAUAUUGGAAUAUGCAAUAAACAUUGAAAGAUGAUUUUUAGCAACAUGAACAAAAGGCUAAGAAGAACUCUGGCCUUUGUUGGAUGUUCUUGACUCUUUAUAAGGACUUAUUCUUUGGCAAAAGCUAGGACAAAUCGUACAGUUGUGAGGGCUACAUGGCUCUAGCUCUUGUUACUCAAGGAACAUUUUCUAGCUUGUUAGCGGUUACCCGAAACAGCGCAAAAGGGGCUUGCCGACUUGUGUAUUGUGUGGCCUCUGUCCCUAUGUGUGUAUGGUUGGGCGUCAUUGUGCCAUUCAAAAGGGGGCACUACAUCUGCUCGCCGAUUAGAAACCUUGUGGCCCUAACUUGUUAAACAAACCUUUGAGUGGCUUUAUAUUGUUUCCAGUGUUAUGGGCCUAAGUAACCUGUGCAUAUGGAAAUCAUGACUCACAGUGAAAGUGUACACCUCUUCACAAAGUUGAACAAUCUGGUAUACUAGGCGUGCCCACGGUUACGGGUGGCCUGGAAAAUUGACAAAAUAGAUUAUCACUGUUGAACGAUGUUAAUGAUGAUUAAGAAUGUGGUUUGUGUAUUAUUCUUCAUAACUAUAUACAUUGAUCAUGUGGUUAUGGGAUGAGAUAUUACCUUGAAUGCUAAUAAUGCUAAAUAUGAUACAUACAUAAAUGCUAAAUGCAGUCAAAUAAUUGUCAGCUUUUUGAGCCUCAUGAACCCCUGGUUAUACUUGUUGAAUAUGAAAUAUCCUCACCCUUGCUAUUUCACAACACCUCAGGAUGUGCUAUAGAUGAUGAUUGGAAUGAGGAUUAUCGUAAUGAGUACUAAGCUUGGAGUCAACCAGCCAACGUUUGUCCCUAUGUGGUGCUUUCCAUCGAGAGUUAUAUUAGUUUGCUACAAUUAUUGUUUAAUACUGUAUUCAAUAUUCAUUCGUUAUGUAAUAAGCAUUGUGAUGAUACUUUCUGAGGUUUGUUAACAUUAAGAUAUGCCACUGCAUGUAUAGUUAUGUCAAAAUUAGGAUGUGCUGCUUGUAUCCAUAUAUAUCUCUACUGUGGAUACAAAUUAUACAUUAAGCUGUACCACAUCAUCUAUAGAUAUAUCUCUAUUGUAGAUAGAUAUAGCAACCUUUAGAUGUGUCACUCCAUGUAUAUAAACCAGACAUAACAAGGCAUAUGCAUACUUGCGCACAAGUUCAACAAAUAUACCACCAAUAUUGAUCUUCCCCACUUUCCACUCAUACUCAUCAAGACAAUGCAGACUGAGUGCACUGCUCUUUGCAUUGUAUUGGUUAUUAUGUCUUCAACCCUCCCAUCCUGCUAUCUUCGUAAGUAUAUAACUUAUUUCGUACUCAAACUAAUUCCACUCAUGUGUGGUUUCUAAAGUCAAAUUGUGGAUGCAUGCAGUUCCGGUCACAUUUAAUUUCAAUUUACCUGGAUGCACUGAAGGGCUUUGCCAUGCAACAUGCCAAUAAGUAUAAUAACCAAGUGGUAAAGAUCUCCCAUUGUGAUAAGCCCAAUAUUUGCCACUGUGAGUUUUCUUCCAAGAAGCAUCCGUGGCUUACCACCGAAGCCAGGGGAUUAGCUGAUGCAGAAGACCAUAAUGGACCUUUUGUUUGAAUUUAAUAUACAAGAUUAACGAUGGAUAGGAUGGUUACAUGGAGGCAGACAAUACCAUAUUGCUAGCUCUAGCAUGUAAUUUAUCCAUGACCUGUUUCCUUUCAAGGUGUAAUAAAAUAAUUGUGCACCUUUCCUAUGCUUUUGUUCCACCCAAUGUAUUUGAUCCACCAUACAGAUUUCAUGCCAUGAUAUGAUGACGAUUUGAUCCCCAAUAGCAAUGGGACCAGGGCGAAAACUUUGGGCGUGGGCUUAGCCUCCCAUGCCUGACACCCUGGUUUUAGGAUGUCAGUCAUGAACAACAGCG
rnacentral:lncRNA from 1 species